AGUGAACGCUGGCGGUAGGCCUAACACAUGCAAGUCGAACGGCAGCACAGUAAGAGCUUGCUCUUACGGGUGGCGAGUGGCGGACGGGUGAGGAAUACAUCGGAAUCUACUUUUUCGUGGGGGAUAACGUAGGGAAACUUACGCUAAUACCGCAUACGACCUACGGGUGAAAGCAGGGGAUCUUCGGACCUUGCGCGAUUGAAUGAGCCGAUGUCGGAUUAGCUAGUUGGCGGGGUAAAGGCCCACCAAGGCGACGAUCCGUAGCUGGUCUGAGAGGAUGAUCAGCCACACUGGAACUGAGACACGGUCCAGACUCCUACGGGAGGCAGCAGUGGGGAAUAUUGGACAAUGGGCGCAAGCCUGAUCCAGCCAUACCGCGUGGGUGAAGAAGGCCUUCGGGUUGUAAAGCCCUUUUGUUGGGAAUGAAAAGCAGCAGGUUAAUACCCCGCUGUUCUGACGGUACCCAAAGAAUAAGCACCGGCUAACUUCGUG
rnacentral:rRNA from 1 species